CUACGUAGGGGGCGAGCGUUGUCCGGAAUGAUUGGGCGUAAAGGGCGCGUAGGCGGCCCGGUAAGUCUGGAGUGAAAGUCCUGUUUUUAAGAUGGGAAUUGCUUUGGAUACUGAUGGGCUUGAGUGCAGGAGAGGUUAUCGGAAUUCCCGGUGUAGCGGUGAAAUGCGUAGAGAUCGGGAGGAACACCAGUGGCGAAGGCGGGUAACUGGACUGCAACUGACGCAGAGGCGCGAAAGUGUGGGGAGCAAACAGGAUUAGAUACCCUGGUAGUCCACACUGUAAACGAUGAAUGCUAGGUGUAAGAGGUAUCGACCCCUUUUGUGCCGGAGUUAACACAAUAAGCAUUCCGCCUGGGGAGUACGGCCGCAAGGUUGAAACUCAAAGGAAUUGACGGGG
rnacentral:rRNA from 1 species